UGGGUUGGUCAAGGGAAACGC
rnacentral:miRNA from 1 species